rnacentral:rRNA from 1 species
GUGUAGCGUACCUACUAGCCUACGACGGGUACGGGUUGUGAGAGCAAGAGCCCGGAGAUGGAUUCUGAGACACGAAUCCAGGCCCUACGGGGUGCAGCAGGCGCGAAAACUUUACAAUGCUGGCAACAGCGAUAAGGGAACCUCGAGUGCCAGGUUACAAAUCUGGCUGUCGUGAUGCCUAAAAAGCAUUGCAUAGCAAGGGCCGGGCAAGACCGGUGCCAGCCGCCGCGGUAACACCGGCGGCUCGAGUGGUAACCGUUAUUAUUGGGUCUAAAGGGUCUGUAGCCGGCCGGAUAAGUCUCUUGGGAAAUCUGGCAGCUUAACUGUCAGGCUUUCAGGAGAUACUGUCUGGCUCGAGGCCGGGAGAGGUGAGAGGUACUUCAGGGGUAGGGGUGAAAUCUUGUAAUCCUUGAAGGACCACCAGUGGCGAAGGCGUCUCACCAGAACGGACCUGACGGCAAGGGACGAAAGCUAGGGGCACGAACCGGAUUAGAUACCCGGGUAGUCCUAGCCGUAAACGAUACUCGCUAGGUGUCGGCCACGGUGCGACCGUUGUCGGUGCCGUAGGGAAGCCGUGAAGCGAGC